GACGAACGCUGGCGGCGUGCUUAACACAUGCAAGUCGAACGGAAAGGCCCUGCUUUUGUGGGGUGCUCGAGUGGCGAACGGGUGAGUAACACGUGAGUAACCUGCCCUUGACUUUGGGAUAACUUCAGGAAACUGGGGCUAAUACCGGAUAGGAGCUCCUGCUGCAUGGUGGGGGUUGGAGAGUUUCGGCCGUUGGGGAUGGACUCGCGGCUUAUCAGCUUGUUGGUGGGGUAGUUGCCUACCAAGGCUUUGACGGGUAGCCGGCCUGAGAGGGUGAACAGCCACAUUGCGACUGCGAUACGGCCCAGACUCCUACGGGAGGCAGCAGUGGGGAGUAUUGCACAAUGGGCGGAAGCCUGAUGCAGCAACGCCGCGUGCGGGAUGCCGGCCUUCGGGUUGUAAACCGCUUUCGCCUGUGACGAAGCGUGAGUGACGGUAAUGGGUAAAGAAGCACCGGCUAACUACGUG
rnacentral:rRNA from 1 species